CCAAUAGCGUAUAUUAAAGUUGUUGCAGUUAAAAAGCUCGUAGUUGAAUUUCGGGGUCUGUCCGUCGGUCGGGCCUCACGGUCCGUACUGGUGUGAUGGGUUCCUACCUUCUGAAUAACCGGCAUGCCAUUCAGUUGGUGCGCCGGGGAAGCAGAGCUAUUACCUUGAAAAAAUUAGAGUGCUUAAAGCAGGCUAGUGCUUGAAUAGAUUAGCAUGGAAUAAUAAAAUAGGACGGCAUGGUUCUAUUUUGUUGGUUUCUAGGAUCACCGUAAUGAUUAAUAGGGAUAGUUGGGGGCAUUAGUAUUCAAUUGUCAGAGGUGAAAUUCUUGGAUUUAUUGAAGACUAACUUCUGCGAAAGCAUUUGCCAAGGAUGUUUUCAUUAAUCAAGAACGAAAGUUAGGGGAUCGAAGACGAUCAGAUACCGUCGUAGUCUUAACCAUAAACUAUGCCGACUAGGGAUCGGACGAUGUUAAUUUUUUAAUGACUCGUUCGGCGCCUUACG
rnacentral:rRNA from 1 species